UACGAAGGGGGCUAGCGUUGCUCGGAAUUACUGGGCGUAAAGCGCACGUAGGCGGCUUUCUAAGUCGGGGGUGAAAUCCUGGAGCUCAACUCCAGAACUGCCUUCGAUACUGGAAAGCUCGAGUCCGGGAGAGGUGAGUGGAACUGCGAGUGUAGAGGUGAAAUUCGUAGAUAUUCGCAAGAACACCAGUGGCGAAGGCGGCUCACUGGCCCGAUACUGACGCUGAUGCACGAAAGCGUGGGGAGCAAACAGG
rnacentral:rRNA from 1 species